UACGUAGGUGGCAAGCGUUUGUCCGGAUUUAUUGGGUUUAAAGGGUGCGUAGGCGGUCUUUUAAGUCAGUGCUGAAAUAUCCCGGCUUAACCGGGAGGAUGGCAUUGAUACUGAAGGACUUGAGUUCAGUCGAGGUAGGCGGAAUUGACGGUGUAGCGGUGAAAUGCGUAGAUAAUCAAGAGGAACACCUGAGGUGAAGACGGGUUGCUGGGCUGACACGUGACGCUGAGGCGCGAAAGCUAGGGAGCAAACGGG
rnacentral:rRNA from 1 species